UACGAAGGGGGCUAGCGUUGUUCGGAUUUACUGGGCGUAAAGCGCACGUAGGCGGAUUCUUAAGUCAGAGGUGAAAUCCCAAGGCUCAACCUUGGAACUGCCUUUGAUACUGGGGAUCUUGAGUUCGGAAGAGGUGAGUGGAACUGCGAGUGUAGAGGUGAAAUUCGUAGAUAUUCGCAAGAACACCAGUGGCGAAGGCGGCUCACUGGUCCGGUACUGGCGCUGAGGUGCGAAAGCGUGGGGAGCGAACAGG
rnacentral:rRNA from 1 species